rnacentral:rRNA from 1 species
CCCUUAGAUGUUCUGGGCCGCACGCGUGCUACACUGAGUGGAUCAACGGGUCAGGUUGCGCGAAAGCGUUUCCUAAUCUUUAAAUCCGCUCGUGAUGGGGAUUGACGGUUGCAAUUUUCUGUCAUGAACGAGGAAUACCUUGUAAGCGCGGGUCAUCAUCCCGCGCUGAAUACGUCCCUGCCCUUUGUACACACCGCCCGUCGCUCCUACCGAUUGAGUGGUCCGGUGAGGCUUUGGGAUCUGAGCGGAAAGAGCGUUUCGCUGUUUCUGCUCGGAAAACUCAGUCGAACCUUAUCAUUUAGAGGAAGGAGAAGUCGUAACA